UGCCUUGCAUGCCUCUUCAGUCGGUCGCCCAAGUGCGUGCUAGCCUUGGUCGUUCCUUAUGGUUUCCUGUGCUAUAUACCUAUCACGAAGGUAUUGAAUCGGCUAAAAGUGUCCCGUUUUCGCCUUGUGCUGUGCCCCUUGGGGCUGCGGUGCGGGGUGGACCUCAAAGCAUCUGCCGUGUUCCACUGCUCGUGCGUCUUGAUACGUGCACGAGUUUUUGGCCCAUGGUUGCGUGCUCGAUCUUUCGGAUGCGGAAAAUUGAGUGGGCAUGAGGCCUUCGGUCCCUAUUUGUCCCGAAACAAAGCGUUCUAUGCUUCGUGCGAAC
rnacentral:misc_RNA from 1 species